rnacentral:rRNA from 1 species
AUUGAACGCUGGCGGCAGGCCUAACACAUGCAAGUCGAGCGGAGCGGCGGACGGGUGAGUAAUGCCUAGGAAUAUGCCUGGUAGUGGGGGCUAAAGACCGGAAAAGGGCGAUAAUACCGAAUACUAUCAGAUCAGCCUGGGUGGGAUUAGCUAGCUGGUGGGGUAAAGGCCUACCAAGGCGACGAACCGUAACUGGUAUGAGAGGAUGAUCAGGCACACUGGAACUGAGAAACGGUCCAGACUCCUACGGGAGGCAGCGGUGGGGAAUAUUGGACAAGUGGCGAAAGCCUUAGCCAGCCAUACCACUUGUGUGAAGAAGGUCUUCGGUUUGUAAAGCACUUUAAGUUGGAAGACGUUACCUACAUAAUAAGCACCGGCUAACUUCGUGCCAGCAGGCGCGGUAAUUC